CACGUAGGCGGCUUCUUAAGUCAGGGGUGAAAUCCUGGAGCUCAACUCCAGAACUGCCCUUGAUACUGAGAAGCUUGAGUCCGGGAGAGAUGAGUGGAACUGCGAGUGUAGAGGUGAAAUUCGUAGAUAUUCGCAAGAACACCAGUGGCGAAGGCGGCUCACUGGCCCGGUACUGACGCUGAGGUGCGAAAGCGUGGGAGCAAACA
rnacentral:rRNA from 1 species